rnacentral:misc_RNA from 1 species
AAUAAAUAAAUAAAUAAAUAAAUAGCUAGAUCAACCUUAUUUAACCUUUGCAAGUUGUUCUCAAUAUGACUUUUUAAAUAUCUUUUUGUCUAGUUUGUGUGUGAAAAAUGAUACCGGAUCAAUUUGGAGUUGGGGAGUAAGAAGGUGUGUAGGGUUGAAAAAUACAGAUUUCACCAUUUUGGAAAAUGAAAGUAAAGGAUACACUUAGAUAUCACCACUCCAAGGAUACAGCAACACCAUGUUGAAGGUAGAGUCUAUGAAUUCUUCCAACAUGAUGGCAACCAACCAAAGUGAAUUAGAAUUCAGGAUGAGCUAGCAUCUCUCAAUUGUUCACAAACUCAAAAUAUAUCUCCUAUAUCAAUUGCAUCAAUUCAUUUAUGCUUGGAACAUCCCUCCAAGUAUGAGAGACAAUAAUUCUAGUAGGACACGAUAAUUGUGUCUAGAUAAAAGAUAGAUUUGAUAAAAAUCAAAUCUGUCUUUUUUACAUGUUAUUGUUAUUGCGCUAACCUAACUUAAGCAUGGUGCACCAAUAUUAUUUGAUGAAAACAACACACUAGUUUGCUUGUGCUUGUGUCUUUGCUCGGUUGCACCCCAUAUUCCAGUGCAAGUUGAUGGGCACGUUGUUAUGCAGGGUAUGGCUGCCUUCGAUAGCCUCCAAUACAUAAUGGGCUUGGGAUUGGACUUCUACUGGAUGUGGAUUUACUUCAUUGGAUUGCCCUUCAAUUAACUCGAUUGGGCUGAGAAUUGGAUAUGGGCUGUCCACACUACCAUCUACAUCACAAAAUAUGUUUUGUUGGAUGAUCAAUGUUGUUAAAGAGUUGUGCCUCAGGAAAAAGUAGCAUAGGGCUCUAAGUCUCCAACCAUAACACCUCUACAGGUGAAAGGCAGGUGACCUUUAACAGGCACUUGCCUUAUGGCCCUAGACAACACCUAGUUCCAAGGGCAAUGCUCUAGAAAGGCACGCCUUCUUAAUUUCCACCACAUGCAAGAACUUCCAUUGGCAACAGUCUAUCAUAGUAUCAUUAGACUUAGAAUUUGUUGAUCUACUGGAAUCCGGUAUCAAUAUGCCAAAAAGUUGUUGGAAUUGUUGUCAUUAGCAAUGAAAAGUUGAUGGAAUCUCUUUGAACCACCACACUUGGGAUCGCUGAUUGCCUAUAUCUCCAUUUUUAACACUCACACUCCUUUGAUCCCUCUUCUCAUAUCUUGUUUUCAAUCUUCUCACAUUAUCUCUCUUAUAUUCACUUGAUAUUGGACUCUUCUGUUUCUAGGUUAUCUGAAAUUGCCUUUUUUUUUAUUUGAAACACCACUAACAGUACUAUUUGAAUCCUUCAUUUCAGGAUUUCCUGAAAAUGCGUUUAAAAAAAAAAAAUGCUAUUUCGGUCAUUUAUUUCUGGAUUAUUUGUAAUUUGUUUCAGGGCUAUCUAAAAUUACUUUUUGUUUUUCUUUCUCUCUUUUUUUUCCUCUUUACUAACAUCACCAAUGGGGCUAUUUGUCAAAGGAAACUGAUCCUUAAGUUGUCUACUUGUGUAGUAUCCUCAGCGCAAUUGAAAUGAAUAGGGUAGUUUCUGCAAUGUGCAAAAAAACUUAAUUCUUUUGCUUCCUCCUUUUUAUCUUUUUACAUUAGCCUGUCUGUCGGGGUGUGUUUGUUGGAAUCUUUUAUUUGUAUAUAUCUUUUAUGACUAAUAUAAUGCACAUCUAAGAAAGCUUUCUUUUUGAGUUCCUUCAGGCACGUUCAAGUUGACUUUACAGUUUACUGAGGAUUAUCCAAACAAACCACCAACAGUGCGAUUUGUAUCUCGAAUGUUCCAUCCAAAUAUUUACGCAGAUGGAAGUAUCUGUUUGGAUAUUUUACAAAAUCAGUGGAGUCCUAUAUAUGAUGUGGCUGCUAUACUUACAUCUAUACAGUCAUUGCUCUGUGACCCCAACCCCAAUUCUCCUGCAAAUUCAGAAGCAGCUCGGAUGUUUAGUGAAAACAAGCGUGAGUACAACCGAAGAGUUAGGGAAAUUGUGGAGCAGAGCUGGACGGCAGACUAAUCUUGAUGCUUUGGCGGGGCAGUCCAAGUGAGUGUGAAGUUUGGAGGCAUGGCAUGUGACAAGUAUCAUGUCCUUUAAAAAUGUUCUUGUGAUAUUAUCGACUUUUAUCCUGUACCCUUGGCUUCCCUCCCAAUUAUUGAAUGUUAGGGUUAUUUUGUCUCUGCUUUAAUCUGACUUCCUCAUUGCGUGUCUUUAGGCUUCAUGUAAAAUGGAAAUUUGUGUAUCAAUUUGCAUUGGAUUGAAUCUUGGUGCUUCAAUAUAAAAAUUUGUAGACUGAUUUGAUUGCAACUGGUGGAAGAUCGCAUUAAUUAUCUUGUAGAACGAGAGAAAUGAUGUUUGGCAAGCAAUUGACUUUUUGGCAUUUGUGGACUGCAUUAAUGAGUCCAUUUCAUGAUAAAUUUGAAAACUUCUGGUUUGGCUGAAAUUAAAAUUCAGGUAUAUAUAUUUUUAGUUCAGUGAUUCACUUAGUUAAUGGAGAGUUCUUGUUG